AAGGCAUAGAAAAAUUGGCCAGACCACUGAAGGAAGAAAGCAUCCAAGAUCGCUCCUCCCCUGGAGCAGAACUAGGGGCAGCGUCAGUUCUGGUUGGUUGCAAAGAGGUUGACCUAGGGAGCUCCCCACUCCUGGAAGAGCUGGAGGACGACCUCCCAGUGGAGUGACCACUCGUACUGGUGGGAAAAAACCCUGCUGAGAUGAUCGGCUCACACAUUGUGGAUGCCGGGCCAAGAUCUGCACGCACAAACAGAAGUCCCACCUGGGCCUGCACUUGGGACCAGGAGGCACCCUUGAGAUCCAAUCAUACAGAUAUGGGAAGAACUGCACCCCUCUCCUCCGGAGGUAGGCUGCUAUCACCGCCAUGCAUUUGGUGAAAACCCUGGGAGCUGUAGAAAGGCAAAAUAGGAGGACGAUGAACUGGUAAUUGUCCCCCCACCAGGAAUCGGAGGAAGCGCCUGUGUCCCUCAAAUAUAUGGAUAUGGAAAUACACAUCCUGGAGGUCCAGGGCCAUGAACUAAUCUCCUGGGUCCAGGGAGGGAACAACAGAGGCCAGGGAUACCAUUCAGAACCUGUAGUGGACCAUAACAAUCUUGAGAUCCUGUAGGUCUAGAAUGGGUCUGAGCCCACCUUUCACCUUUGAGAUCAGGAAACACCGGGAGUACAAGCCCUUGCCCUGGAAUUCUACCGGUACUCUUUCCACCGCCUCCAGGCGGAGGAAGCGUGCCACCUCCUGGUCUAGAAGGUGAGCAUGCUCCAGGUCCCCGGGGCUCAGGAGUGUGAGGUGAACUGCAACUUGUAGCCCUUAGAGAGAGUGUUGAGGACCCAUUGGUCUGACAUUAUAUGGGACCACUCCACACGGAAGGCAGCUAAACGGUUGCAGAACACAAACUUUAUUAACUGGGGAGCUUCCCUGGCAACAGGCCUGGUGGCCCCCUGCCAAGAGUCAAAACCACCUCUUUCCCUGCCUUUUGCCCUUCGAGUGGCCUGGUCAUGGGGCCGAGCGGGACUGACGCUGGGACCCACAGCUCUGUUCCUGCGGUCUCUUGGGCAGGGGCUCGUAUCUGCUCUUAGCAGGGGGAGCCGAAGCUUGCAGCCUGGGCUUAUCCUUCGCCGGAGGGACAUACAGGCCCAAGGUUUGCAGGGUGGUGUGGGAGUCUUUCAUCCCAUGCAGGUGGACAUCAGUUUGGUCCCUGAACAACGCUUUCCCGUUAAAGGGAAGGUCCUGCAUUAAGGACUGGGACUCUGCAGACAGUCCAGACAGGAGAAGCCACGAUGUCCUGUCUAUGGAUAUGGCGGAGGCCAUCAAGCGGGCUGCCGUGUCUGACAACCACCUGGAGGGCUGCUUUAUCUGCUGCUGCUCCUUCUUCUAUCAGGGCCUUGAACUCCUUUUUGUCCCGCUCAGGGAGGAGAGGUUCAACCUUUGGCAGGGACCCCCAUAGGUUGAAGUCAUACCGGCUCAGUAGGGCUUGAUGGUUGGCCACUCUGAGCUGGAAACUCGCUGAGGAAUAAACCUUCCUGCCAAAC